GACGAACGCUGGCGGCGUGCUUAACACAUGCAAGUCGAACGGAAAGGCCCUGCUUUUGUGGGGUGCUCGAGUGGCGAACGGGUGAGUAACACGUGAGUAACCUGCCCUUGACUUUGGGAUAACUUCAGGAAACUGGGGCUAAUACCGGAUAGGAGCUCCUGCUGCAUGGUGGGGGUUGGAAAGUUUCGGCGGUUGGGGAUGGACUCGCAGCUUAUCAGCUUGUUGGUGGGGUAGUGGCUUACCAAGGCUUUGACGGGUAGCCGGCCUGAGAGGGUGACCGGCCACAUUGGGACUGAGAUACGGCCCAGACUCCUACGGGAGGCAGCAGUGGGGAAUGUUGCACAAUGGGCGGAAGCCUGAUGCAGCAACGCCGCGUGCGGGAUGACGGCCUUCGGGUUGUAAACCGCCUUCGCCUGUGACGAAGCGUGAGUGACGGUAAUGGGUAAAGAAGCACCGGCUAACUACGUG
rnacentral:rRNA from 1 species